rnacentral:rRNA from 1 species
GAUGAACGCUGGCGGUAUGCUUAACACAUGCAAGUCGAACGGACUCUUCGGAGUUAGUGGCGGACGGGUGAGUAACGCGUGAGAAUCUGGCUUUGGGUUCGGGACAACCACUGGAAACGGUGGCUAAUACCGGAUGUGCCGAGAGGUAAAAGAGAAAUUGCCUGAAGAUGAGCUCGCGUCUGAUUAGCUAGUUGGUGAGGUAAAGGCUCACCAAGGCAGCGAUCAGUAGCUGGUCUGAGAGGAUGACCAGCCACACUGGGACUGAGACACGGCCCAGACUCCUACGGGAGGCAGCAGUGGGGAAUUUUCCGCAAUGGGCGAAAGACUGACGGAGCAAUACCGCGUGAGGGAAGAAGGCUCUUGGGUUGUAAACCUCUUUUCUUAGGGAGGAACAAAAUGACGGUACCUAAGGAAUCAGCAUCGGCUAACUCCGUG